rnacentral:rRNA from 1 species
UACGAAGGGUGCAAGCGUUACUCGGAAUUACUGGGCGUAAAGGGUGCGUAGGCGGUUGCUUAAGUCUGUUGUGAAAUCCCCGGGCUCAACCUGGGAAUGGCAAUGGAUACUGGGCAGCUAGAGUGUGUCAGAGGAUGGUGGAAUUCCCGGUGUAGCGGUGAAAUGCGUAGAGAUCGGGAGGAACAUCAGUGGCGAAGGCGGCCAUCUGGGACAACACUGACGCUGAAGCACGAAAGCGUGGGGAGCAAACAGG